GACGAACGCUGGCGGCGUGCUUAACACAUGCAAGUCGAACGGAAAGGCCCUGCUUUUGUGGGGUGCUCGAGUGGCGAACGGGUGAGUAACACGUGAGUAACCUGCCCUUGACUUUGGGAUAACUUCAGGAAACUGGGGCUAAUACCGGAUAGGAGCUCCUGCUGCAUGGUGGGGGUUGGAAAGUUUCGGCGGUUGGGGAUGGACUCGCGGCUUAUCAGCUUGUUGGUGGGGUAGUGGCUUACCAAGGCUUCGACGGGUAGCCGGCCUGAGAGGGUGACCGGCCACAUUGGGACUGAGGUACGGCCCAGACUCCUACGGGAGGCAGCAGUGGGGAAUAUUGCACAAUGGGCGGAAGCCUGAUGCAGCAACGCCGCGUGCGGGAUGACGGCCUUCGGGUUGUAAACCGCUUUCGCCUGUGACGAAGCGUGAGUGACGGUAAUGGGUAAAGAAGCACCGGCUAACUACGUG
rnacentral:rRNA from 1 species